UACGUAGGGUGCGAGCGUUGUCCGGAAUUAUUGGGCGUAAAGAGCUUGUAGGCGGUUUGUCGCGUCUGCUGUGAAAAUCCGGGGCUCAACCCCGGACUUGCAGUGGGUACGGGCAGACUAGAGUGUGGUAGGGGAGACUGGAAUUCCUGGUGUAGCGGUGGAAUGCGCAGAUAUCAGGAGGAACACCGAUGGCGAAGGCAGGUCUCUGGGCCACUACUGACGCUGAGGCGCGAAAGCCAGGGGAGCAAACGGG
rnacentral:rRNA from 1 species